AUUGAACGCUGGCGGCAUGCCUUACACAUGCAAGUCGAACGGUAACAGGUCUUCGGAUGCUGACGAGUGGCGAACGGGUGAGUAAUACAUCGGAACGUGCCUAGUAGUGGGGGAUAACUACUCGAAAGAGUGGCUAAUACCGCAUGAGAUCUACGGAUGAAAGCAGGGGAUCGCAAGACCUUGUGCUACUAGAGCGGCCGAUGGCAGAUUAGGUAGUUGGUGGGAUAAAAGCUUACCAAGCCGACGAUCUGUAGCUGGUCUGAGAGGACGAUCAGCCACACUGGGACUGAGACACGGCCCAGACUACUACGGGAGGCAGCAGUGGGGAAUUUUGGACAAUGGGAGCAAGCCUGAUCCAGCAAUGCCGCGUGCAGGAUGAAGGCCUUCGGGUUGUAAACUGCUUUUGUACGGAACGAAAAGCCCCGGGUUAAUACCCUGGGGUCAUGACGGUACCGUAAGAAUAAGCACCGGCUAACUACGUGCCAGCAGCCGCCGUAA
rnacentral:rRNA from 1 species